GUGUGAUGUGAGUAGCCUCACCACCUCCCAUGAAGUUUGGAAAGCACUAGAAAAUGGGGUAGCAAAUAAAGCACAAAUUAAUCAAUUGAAGGAAAAUUUGCAAAACACAAGGAAAGGCACUACAAGAAUGGAAGAUUAUCUCGCAUAAAAGAAGUAAAUAGUUGAUGACCUCACUCUUGUAGGUGAACCUAUUUGUAGUGCCUUAAGUUCAGAAGGAGAACAUGAGUGAACCGAUAUCACAUCUGAAUGAGAGAGAUCCUGAGGAUAUAAAAGUAAGAUUACGAAAGAUUUAAAAGAAGUAAAAGUUAUUACCUAUAUACAAACAAGAUACACCUUCCUAAUUGUGGGUGGCUCGAUCAUAUAAACUUGAAAGUUAAGCAUGCUUAGCUUGGAACAAUUCUAUGUUGGAUGACCUUCUGGAAAUUCUCCUAAGAUGCAUGUGAGUGAGGACAAAAUAUGCUGAAAGUUCUUGUGUUGGUUUGUGGAGGACGAUUUUCACUCUGAUAAGC
rnacentral:lncRNA from 1 species